CAUAUCUCUCUUACGGGAAGGAUGAGAAGCUUCGACUAAGGUUCGAUUGGAGCGAAAGCGAGAAAGCGUUGCCGCAGGCAACGACCCGAAGGGCGAAGCGCGCAGCGCUGAGUCAUCCUUCCCCCACCACCA
rnacentral:sRNA from 1 species